GCACGUCACAACAGACCACCUACAUCUUUAGUUAUGCAUUUCCACCUUUACCAAAUCUUCAGUCUGAAACUGAUGAAGAAGCCUCCGAACAGCAACCGAUCCGGCCUUCUUUCCAUCAUUUGCGUCAUGGACGCCCGAGUCCGACUCGUCGUGGUACCAUCCCACCGAUUUCUGAGCUUCCAGAACGAUCUGAGAGAGGCCUUCCUUGACGGUCUGUUUGUUCUGACGAAUAUCAUGUACAGUGGCGGAAAUCUUCCAGUACAGAGGACGACCGACAUAGAAUAAGACGAGGAGGAGGAUCACCACCAUGAUAACGCGAAACGCAAUCCUUGCCGUCGACGACGCCAUUGUUUCCGGUGGCUAUGUCUGGAAGAGAGAAACAGAGAGAGAGAUAGUGGGAAUAUAAAUAUUCGUAGGUUGUUCAAAAGAGAAUGAAGGAGAGGGACAUAGAUUUGGUGCAGGUGGAGGUUGUUGUUAAUAAGGGAUCCAAGGAUCUGGGUUUUGUCUUGAUGUUUUAGGUUGUUG
rnacentral:misc_RNA from 1 species